ensembl:lncRNA
UAUAUAUAUAGAUAUAUAUAUAUUCCGCACCCCAUUAUUUGCUGGAGUUGUGAAAUCGCCAAGUGGCUUUCUCCCUUUCCUCCUACCCCCAGAGGAAUGUCUCUGGCAAAUCCACGGAGCACAAGGGCAGUUUCUGUGUUGAGGGCUGGGAGGUACAGUGAAGGUUUAUUCUUCGCUGUGCAUCUAGAGCCCAGCUCCCCUGGGGUUUAAACCACACGAUGGCAGUGGACUCAUGUGACUCCAGUAUGCAUCAUUACAUACAUACACUUAUAGAGAAGCGAGGCCCAGGCAAAUGUGUUGAAUGGGGCCAUUAAGUUUCCGAGAAGGAAGAAUAUAGUGCUUUUUGUUUUUAUGCUGACUGGAGAAAAAUAAGCAAAAGUACAAAGUACUUCUUCAUGAUCUUAAAGCAGAAUCUGUACAUUAAUGCUGGCCUCCAGUAAAGCCCAGUACAUAAAGAUCAGGGUGAAGAAAAAUUCCACAGGAAAGGGGGUGAUUAGUUAACUAACUAAUCAGCUAACUCCCUGAUUUAAGUCAGUGGAUAAUUUCCAUGAAUUUAAAAAGAUGGAGGAAAGCAGGAGAUUUUUUAAAGUCCUUACAUUUCAUGUAAUCCAGGUGGUGUUUGAACUGUGGGUUGAUAUUUACUGAGUCAUGAACUUGAUGCAUUGACUCAAAGCUACCAUUUUAAAAAAUGACAUGAAGUAGAAUAGCAGAGUACAUAACAUAGGAAGAAUAAAUAUAUAAAUGUACAUUAUUUAAUAUGUAAAUAUAUUACAUAAAUCUUUUGUUUCCAUUAAUGUAUGUGUGUGUGCAGGGAGUCAACUGUGUAACAUGUCCUUUCUUAUUGUGCAUUGAGGUCAAAGCUUGAAGAGUUACUAGUGGGGUACGGGCACUGUCUGGAUCACCCAGUGAGUUGGAGUGGUAGGGAAAUUUAGGUUCUCUCUUAGUAAUCCUGUGCUUUGUCAAUUCCGCCACGCUGAAGGAGGAGGAGGAGGAGAAGGAAAAGGGCUAGGAACCAUUUCUUCAGUCCUUUAUUUCAUUUUUCAACAAAGGCUUUUAUUAGCUACUCUAUCUCAGGCCUAGUGCUAAAAACUGGGGGCUCAAUGGAGAACAAAUUAACUUGUCAUCUCUGUCAACUUAGAGUCCAGGGGGGAGGCAGACAUUAAACAAGUAAACACAAAAGUAACUAUAUAUACAAUAAAUAUAGGGCUGAUGAACAUAAGAUGUAUAUUUAAAUUUUAAAAUAUUUAUUAUUAUAAGACACAUUGCCAUUAAUCCCCCUCAAAAUGCUCCGCUUUGAUUAGAACACUGUUAUUCUAUCCCAUCAUUCUUGCCACUCUCUAAAGCAGUUCUGGAAGUUUUCUUUCAUGAGUGUCUUUAUGAGGUAUGAUCAAAACUACUGUGGAUGCUGCUCCCAAGUGCCAUCCAAUGGAAAGGCAGGCUCAUAAAAACAUUACAACAUGAUCUCAUCCACUGUAUUCACCAGAUCUGGUACUGCACGACCUCUGGUUUUUCCCCAAAGUCAAAAUGACCAUGAAAAGUAAAUUUUUAAUUGAUGUAGGACAAUGAGGAAGCCACAACAGAGCUAAAGACAGUCACAAAAGAGGAUUUCCAGAACUACUUCGGACAAGUGGCAAGAAUGAUGGGGGCAUUCCCACCUGAGGUCUCAGAUGGCUGGAGCAGCUGUAGUUAUUACAGUCCUGGCAGUGUCCAAGGGCAGCGGAAGAGAAUGGGGAACUAACUCUUUCCCAUGAACUUUGGACCGACCACUAGUCAAAGCUGAGUCAAAAGCCCAAUCCUAAACGCCAGGAACAGAGGAGGAAUUACCUCAGGCGAUUGGCAGAAGCUCUUCAGGCUCUGCCCCUGAACUCUCCAGGUUGCUUUCUUUGAGAAUUGGACAGCCGAGCACAAAAGAGAAGGUGGCAUUGGAUCUUGGGUAGGCAAUCUAAAGUCAGGUGCAGAGACUCAGGGAUGUCUUCUCCAGGAAAAGAUGACAUCCAAACCCAGGUGAGUGAUACUCAAAGGAUAAGAAGGAAAAGCCUUGCCAGGCAGAGGAGACCGCGUGUGUGAAGUCUGACUCUGCACCACGUGGUGAAGGCUUCCGUGUCAUUAUUUUUUCACUCUGUCCCCGAGAGGAGCCAAGCAGACCACAGAAAGCAAGCUCAAAGAGUUAAAUAAUCGAUUAAGUUCACAGAGCUAAUAAGUUGCAGGACUAACCUGUGUCAUUCCAGAACACAAGAGCUUGGCCUUUCCUGCCUCUCCAG